UACGGAGGGAGCAAGCGUUACUCGGAAUUAUUGGGCGUAAAGAGCGUGUAGGCGGCCAGGUAGGUCUGCUGUGAAAUCUCCGGGCUUAACUCGGAAAGGUCAACUGAUACUGUGCGACUAGAGUGCAGAAGGGGCAACUGGAAUUCUCGGUGUAGCGGUGAAAUGCGUAGAUAUCGAGAGGAACACCUGCGGCGAAGGCGGGUUGCUGGGCUGACACUGACGCUGAUGCGCGAAAGCCAGGGGAGCGAACGGG
rnacentral:rRNA from 1 species